AGCUGUCACAGGGCCCUUCAACUUUUGUCCGUGAACGACAGCAGGAUGAAAAGAUGGGAGUGAGCUCCUUUGAUUUUCGCCGGCUCAAUAGGACCGACCGCGAGAAAAGGGAUGGACCUGUGUUGUGUUCCACGGAGUCAAAAGGAAAAGCUGACGAGGGGAGGCUGGGGAACACGUUCACGAGGGGCGGCGACUCAGCUCUGUUGGAUCUGUCCUCAGGGCGUUUGUGUCCAGUCACAGCGAUACCGCCUCAGCGAGCAGCCUCAACGCUGCUGCAGUGUAACACUCUGAGGCAACUGCGACCGUCAAGAAAGUCUCUCUCUUGCAAUGAAAAUCUCGCCGUAUGAAAUCAUGCAAGAGCUCCAGAUCACCAGUGGCAGCGCUGAAUGUGCCGAGGACCAACUUUACCGUUUCACGUUGAGCGUCGACUAAAAGAAACAGUUCUCAGUCUAAGUAUUCUUGUUUUGUUGUAACUGUUCACCUUCUUAAAGUAAGAUUGUUUUUUUUCUCCCACCGAGUAAAUUGCCUACCAUCUGUUUGACUCUGAGAUAACUAGUUUUGAAAAUGAGAAUACAGUAAACAGAGAGAGUUGUAAUUCAACUCUUUAAUCAA